AAAAUAUAAAUUAAUAAUAAAUAAUAUAAUAAAAGUAAUUUUAAUAUUAAAAUAAAUAAUGGGGGUUAAAGUAUUUUAAAAAAAAAAAUUACAAAAUUAUAGAAAAUUAGUAUAGUGAUAGAAAUUUGAAAUAUAAGAAAAUAAAUUUAUUAAAAAGUAAAUUUUAUUUAUUGUAUCUUGUGUAUCAGAGUUUAUUAAAAAAUUUUUUUAAUUAAAAAAAUCUCGAAUUUAAAAGAGUUAAUUAAUUAAAAAUUUUAAUGUAAAAUAAUUAUUUUAAAUAAUUAAUUAGAAAUGAAAUGUUAAUCGUUUUUAAAUAUAUCUAGUUAUUUUAGAAAAAAAUUUAAUUUUAAAUUUAUUUAGUUUAAAUGUUAAUUUAGUUAAUAUUUUAAAAAAUUUAAAUUUUAUAAUUUAAGGGAUAAUCUUUAAGUUAAAUUAUUAUAAUAAAAAUUUUUUUUUAAAAAUUUUUAAAAUUUAUAUUGUUUAAAAAUUAAAAUUUUUUAUAAAAUAUUUUAAUAUAAAUAAGAUUUAAAAUAUUAAAUUUAAUUUUUUAUAAAAUUAUAAUAUUUAAUUAAAGAAUAUUAGAAGAAAUGAUAAAAUUAGUAUAAUAAAUUAAUAUUUAAGUUAAAUAUUAUAAUAAAUUAUAUGAAAGGAAUUCGGCAAAUGUAAAUAUUCACCUGUUUAACAAAAACAUGUCUUUUUGAUUUAAUAAUUUAAAGUCAAAUCUGCCCACUGAUAAUUUAUUAAAGGGCUGCAGUAUAUUGACUGUACAAAGGUAGCAUAAUCAUUAGUCUUUUAAUUGAAGACUUGUAUGAAGGAUUUGAUGAAAUAUUAACUGUCUCUUAUGUAUUAAUAGAAUUUAAUUUUUUAGUUAAAAAGCUAAAAUUUAUUUAAAAGACGAGAAGACCCUAUAGAGUUUUAUAAUUAUUUUUUAAUUUUUUAUUUAUAAAUAUUAAUAAUUUUUAAUAAAUAAUUAUUUUAUUGGGGGGAUAAAAAAAUUAAAUAAACUUUUUUUUUAAUUGAACAAAGAUAAAUGAAUAAUUGAUCCAUAAAUUAUGAUUAAAAGAAAAAAUUACCUUAGGGAUAACAGCGUAAUUUUUUUUUUUAGUACAAAUAAAAAAAAAAGUUUGCGACCUCGAUGUUGGAUUAAGAUAAAAUUUAAAUGCAAAAGUUUAAAAUUUUGAUCUGUUCGAUCAUUAAAAUCUUACAUGAUCUGAGUUCAAACCGGUGUAAGCCAGGUUGGUUUCUAUCUUUAAAAAAUUAAAAUAUUUUA
rnacentral:rRNA from 1 species